rnacentral:lncRNA from 1 species
AAAUAAAAUAACAUUUGUACUGCUCUAACGUGUUAACUGAAAAAAAUAAGCCAUACUGUAUGUGUGUAACCAACUUAUACUAAUGUAUUAUUAUAUUAUUAUUAUUAUUAUUAUAUAUAUAUUUUUUUUUUUUUUAAAUUAUAGCCUGUGUCCAUUUUGAAAACACUAGAAAAGGGAGUUUAUCGAAACGAAGUAGCAUUUCCGUAUACAUUCAGUUUAAAAAAUGUUGAUAAUAAUUAUAUUACACAUGCUUGUGUUUUGGAAUUUAGCUCAAGCGAAGGCAUUAUAUAUGUGUCUGAAAAUAUAAAAGAAAAUUUAGGUAUAACCGAAUCAACUGGUGUAACUAGAUUAUUAGUAACAUAUGCUAAUUUGUCUAAAUGUGAUUUUAUAAAAUUUGAAUCAUUAAAUGAAAAUGUCAAUGACAUAAAAUUUAUGAAAAAGUUAUUAGAAAAUGAAUUGAGUUUAAACUAUAGUACAUUAACAUUAGGAGAUCAUAUACAUAUUAAUCAUUUACAUUUUUAUAUAUCUGAGAUAGAACCUGAUAAUGCUGCAUCUUUAAUCAAUACUGACAUUACUGUCGAUAUAUGUGAACGUAAGAGUGUAGGAAAACAGAAUAAUAUUUAUUUUAAUAAACAUGAUAAUACAUCAUAUGAAAUGAUCGAACAAGUAGAAGGUCCUAUUAUUCAUAGCACAAUUUUUAAAGAAAUGAAAAAAUAUAAAUAUAUAAUUAAUUCUAAUAUUUUAGAUUUAUUGAAAAAAAAUAAACUCAAUAUACUUCUGUCCUUACAAUCUAACAAUGUAAACGAUUUUACUAUUUUUAUUUCAUUCCCACCAUAUGAUUUAGUAUCUGAAGCCGUCCAUCAUUUACAUUUUGAUGAUUGUAGUAAUGAUAUAAUCAUAAACAGAGAUGUAAUAUAUAAUUGUUUACGUUUGCAUUUUCUUUGUUUUCAAAAGGAAGAAUAUAGGAAAAUAAGUGAUAGGUCAAGUGAUGGAUUAAGUGGUAAGUCCAGUGAUGGAUUAAGUGGUGGGUCAAGUGAUGAGUCAAGUUUUCAGAUAGUAAAUGGGACAACUAGUGAAAUAACCGUUAUUAUAAAUGAAGAAAUAAACAACACCACAAAUAAUAAGACAAAAAAUGCAUUACUAGAAUACACGCUAGAUAAAUAUUUCCCACAUAUAAUGUACAUAGGAAUUCAGUCAACUAAACAAACCGAAUUACUUUUUAGUUUAUCUUCAACGUUAGACCAUACAAAUGACAAUUCGAAUUGUAACAACUACAACUAUAGCAACAGUAGCAAUGGUGGUAGUAAACCAUGUGCUAACAUUGGUAGCAUUGUCGAUAACAAAAGCGAUAGCAAUAUUGCUACAUCACAUAAUAAUAAUAAUAAUAAUAAUAAUAAUAAUAAUAAUAACAUUAACAAAACCUCUGAAUAUAUGAAAUGCGAAAAUUGUUUAAAAGAUAUACUAGUGUAUAAUAUGUAUAUGCAUAAGAUACAUUGUUUAAAAAACAUAACAAUUUGUAAUAUAUGUAAAAAAAGCUUUACAAAAAAAAAUAUUUCUAAUCAUACACACUGUAACAUAUGUAAUGAAGGUUUAAAUAAAGAUGAGCAAAAUAAACAUAACAUUAUUUGGCAUACAAAAAUAAAAUGUAUUUGUCACAAAUAUUUUUAUAAAAAACAAUUCAUUUUCCAUCAAAAAUUAUUCUGCCCUAAAAAGAUUAUUUUUUGUUCUUUUUGUAAUAUAUUUACUAACUCGGCUACAAAUAUUUCCAAUGAAGAUUAUUUAAUUUCGUCGUUUUUUGAUAAGUUUGAUAGCGGUAGUAGUAGCAACAACGGCAACAACGGCAACAACGGCAACAGCGAUGAUAACAAGAACAGUAACAACGACAAAUGUGACGUUACCAGCGGUCCCAAAACUAUGCCCGUAAAAUCUAUCGAUUAUUAUGUCAAGCUAUUACAAAAUAAUUUUUUUUUUUUUUUCAAAUAUAUUAACAACACAGAACAUGAACAAUAUUGUGGAACAAAAUCAGUAACGUGCAUAUUUUGUAAAAAAAAUAUGUAUAGAAAUAAUUAUUUAAAACAUUUGAGUUUAAUACAUAAUAAUAAUAAUAAAUUAGAAUCAUUUAAAAUUAUAAAUGAACUUA